rnacentral:rRNA from 1 species
GUACAAGCAGUAGGAGCCCUUCGGGGUGACUGCGUACCUUUUGUAUAAUGGGUCAGCGACUUACUGUCAGUGGCAAGCUUAACCGUAUAGGGGAGGCGUAGCGAAAGCGAGUCUUAAUAGGGCGUUUUAGUCGCUGGGAGUAGACCCGAAACCGGGCGAUCUAGCCAUGGGCAGGGUGAAGGUUAGGUAACACUGACUGGAGGCCCGAACCGGGAUCUGUUGAAAAAGAUUCGGAUGACCUGUGGUUAGGAGUGAAAGGCUAAUCAAGCUCGGAGAUAGCUGGUUCUCCUCGAAAGCUAUUUAGGUAGCGCCUCGGACGAAUACCACUGGGGGUAGAGCACUGUUAAGGCUAGGGGGUCAUCGCGACUUACCAACCCUUUGCAAACUCCGAAUACCAGUGAGUACUAUCCGGGAGGCACACGGCGGUGCUAACGUCCGUCGUGAAAAGGGAAACAACCCAGACCGCCAGCUAAGGUCCCCAAUCAUGGCUAAGUGGAAACGAUGUGGAAGGCAUAGACAGCUAGGAGGUUGGCUUAGAAGCAGCCAUCCUUAAAGAAAG